GACGGAGGGUGCUAGCGUUGUUCGGAAUCACUGGGCGUAAAGGGCGCGUAGGCGGCUGUGGCAGUCGGGUGUGAAAGCCCGGAGCUCAACUCCGGAACGGCACUCGAGACGCCACGGCUGGAGGCCGGAAGAGGAGGGUGGAAUACCCAGUGUAGAGGUGAAAUUCGUAGAUAUUGGGUGGAACACCGGUGGCGAAAGCGGCUCUCUGGUCCGGACCUGACGCUGAGGCGCGAAAGCGUGGGGGGCAAACAGG
rnacentral:rRNA from 1 species